ensembl:ncRNA K10D6.20 ncRNA
AUACUGACGUUUAUAAGUGUCGCUGCAUCAAUAGAUGUUGGAGUAUCGGUUAUACCAAACAGUUUUGUUGCCCCGGCGGCUUGUCAUAAGAGACCUUGAAAUAGAGAAAAGGUGAGAUGGCAGGUUGAAAAAAAAUAGAAGGCCGCCUCCCUCGCCCAUCCCUCCUGUGGCCAAUCAACUGAAUCUGACGGAACACG